rnacentral:rRNA from 1 species
AUUGAACGCUGGCGGCAUGCCUUACACAUGCAAGUCGAACGGUAACGCGGGGGCAACCCUGGCGACGAGUGGCGAACGGGUGAGUAGCGCAUCGGAACGUGCCCAGUAGUGGGGGAUAGCUCGGCGAAAGCCGGAUUAAUACCGCAUACGACCCACGGGUGAAAGCGGGGGACCGCAAGGCCUCGCGCUAUUGGAGCGGCCGAUGCCCGAUUAGCUAGUUGGUGAGGUAAAGGCUCACCAAGGCGACGAUCGGUAGCUGGUCUGAGAGGACGAACAGCCACACUGGGAGUGAGACACGGCCCAGACUCCUACGGGAGGCAGCAGUGGGGAAUUUUGGACAAUGGGGGAAACCCUGAUCCAGCCAUGCCGCGUGCGGGAAGAAGGCCUUCGGGUUGUAAACCGCUUUUGGCAGGAACGAAACGGCGCGGGCCAAUACCUCGCGUUAAUGACGGUACCUGCAGAAUAAGCACCGGCUAACUACGUGCCAGCCGCCGCGGUAAAAC